CCUACGGGAGGCAGCAGUGAGGAAUAUUGGUCAAUGGACGAGAGUCUGAACCAGCCAAGUAGCGUGAAGGAUGACUGCCCUAUGGGUUGUAAACUUCUUUUAUAUGGGAAUAAAACGUUCCACGUGUGGGAUUUUGUAUGUACCAUAUGAAUAAGGAUCGGCUAACUCCGUGCCAGCAGCCGCGGUAAUACGGAGGAUCCGAGCGUUAUCCGGAUUUAUUGGGUUUAAAGGGAGCGUAGGUGGAUUGUUAAGUCAGUUGUGAAAGUUUGCGGCUCAACCGUAAAAUUGCAGUUGAAACUGGCAGUCUUGAGUAGAGUAGAGGUGGGCGGAAUUCGUGGUGUAGCGGUGAAAUGCUUAGAUAUCACGAAGAACUCCGAUUGCGAAGGCAGUUCACUGGACUGCAACUGACACUGAGGCUCGAAAGUGUGGGUAUCAAACAGGAUUAGAUACCCCAGUAGUC
rnacentral:rRNA from 1 species